UACAGGGGGUGCAAACGUUGCUCGGAAUCAUUGGGCGUAAAGCGCACGUAGGCGGUUCGUUAUGUCGGAUGUGAAAGCCCUUGGCUUAACCGAGGAAGUGCAUCCGAAACUGGCGAGCUAGAGUACGAAAGAGGAUCGCGGAAUUCCCGGUGUAGAGGCGAAAUUCGUAGAUAUCGGGAGGAACACCGGUGGCGAAGGCGGCGAUCUGGGUCGAUACUGACGCUGAGGUGCGAAAGCGUGGGGAGCAAACAGG
rnacentral:rRNA from 1 species